rnacentral:rRNA from 1 species
GAUGAACGCUAGCUACAGGCUUAACACAUGCAAGUCGAGGGGUAACGAGAGGAAAGCUUGCUUUCCUUGUCGACGACCGGCGCACGGGUGAGUAACGCGUAUCCAACCUGCCCCCAACUAGGGAAUAACCUUGCGAAAGUAAGACUAAUACCCUAUAAUUUCCUCAGAUGACAUCUGACCAGGAAUAAAGAUUUAUCAGUUGUGGAUGGGGAUGCGUCUGAUUAGCUUGUUGGCGGGGUAACGGCCCACCAAGGCAACGAUCAGUAGGGGUUCUGAGAGGAAGGUCCCCCACAUUGGAACUGAGACACGGUCCAAACUCCUACGGGAGGCAGCAGUGAGGAAUAUUGGUCAAUGGGCGGAAGCCUGAACCAGCCAAGUAGCGUGCAGGAUGACGGCCCUAUGGGUUGUAAACUGCUUUUAUACAGGAAUAAAGUUAGCCACGUGUGGUUAUUUGUAGGUACUGUAUGAAUAAGGACCGGCUAAUUCCGUGCCAGCCGCCGCCGUAA